rnacentral:misc_RNA from 1 species
AAAAAAAAAAAAAAAGGAUUAAUUAAAACAAGAACGAAGAGAAUAGAAGGCCUUUAACUAUACCUUUCGUGUGCAUGUAGGACAGAUUUCAAGGAAUUUCUAAAACUGAAAGUUCAAGCCAUCAUCACCAGGUAACUCAUUGAAGUGGAGAGUAAGAAAAACAAAGGCAAAUAUGACACAACCAAGUAUCUGACUAUUUUAUAUCUGCUGCACAAGACUGCCAUUCGUUUGUGAUAAUAGAAAUUCGAGUUGGAAGUAGCAUCUAGCUAGCUAAAAGAAUUAAAAAAACUACCGGUUCCCACUGUCGACAGAUAAAGAUCGUCUCAUAUUUCAGCUUCACUUUGCCACGUUAAUGCACUAACAGGAUAUCAUUUCAAAUGAUUAGUAGUGGCAAUUUCAACGCAACAGAAGAACAAAGUCAAAAACAGCAUCAACGACUAUGUGACCAGGUUACAACAGAUAAGCAUUGCUGUUGUAAUUCUUCCAUCAGAACAAACGUCAGCAAUAAUGAGAAAUGCAAGACUGAUUCAAAAUUUUCAGGCAACAGAAAAAGAUACAGCCUGCGGACUAUCAAAGAAGGUGAGAAUUACAUGGAUACAAGGACUUGUUCAAACUCCACAAUGAUUUUCUACUGCAAUGUUAAGACUCAAGUAUGGGUGCUGGACACAUAUCCCCAACCAGCAUGGGUAAAUUCCUUUUUUUUAAGUUCCUCAAAUUAAGCAGAUCCUCUAGACAUGUCCAUUGCAAGAGUUCAAUACGUGCUUGACAAGGUUCAUCACUAUAAAAUGAGGAGCUGGAGCAACAAAACCAUACAAGAACUCAAGAAGUCUCAAUGAUGUCUACAAGUAUUCGGUUCCUCCACAGACAAACAUAAAAGACAGCCAUCUCAAUAGGUUUUCCAACAUUCAUGCUGCGGUACACAUUGAGAUUAUUCCCCAAAUUAUGUCACCAAAAACUUCACAAUAUUUGAAUCUGCAUCCUCAUUGCCCCCAACAAAAGAUAUCAAAAGAUGACCAAUACAUGAAUAACACACAUACUUAAUCAUUUAAGGAGAAAAAAAGGGGAUGAACCACAAAUGUUAGUCAGACAUUAUGCUGAAGAUAAACAUCAUCGCUUAUUUACUGAUGCCCAAAACUUCUAUAUGCCUCUAAUUGUAACACAAAAUUACAAAAGUUGCAGCACUAAAAACCUCCCAGUACUCGCUAGAUAACUUGUACCCAUUAGGUCACUGCAUACCAAACGGACGUGAAGCUUCCACCUUGAAUCUAAUGCCAUUGACAAAGUUAGUUGAGUGCAUGACAUCUGUGAAUAUUCUAUUCGCAGAGUUGCAAGUACAAUAUCCUUUGUCAGGAAACAAUUUUACAUUCAAAAUCCAUAUUUCCAUAGUAAACAGCUGACCAAUUGUCCAUAAAAACUCCUUCCUAGAGUGCCAAAGCUCACUUACAAUUGUUUGUAACAACACUCUGCAGGUUCUCCUUGAUCAAGCCCAUGGCAAUAUCGGGAAUGCCAUUUUUCUUCAACCGUUUAGAAAGUGCACAAGGUCUUGAGGUUCUCUUUUGUCAAGCCCAUGACAAUCUCUGCGAUGCCAUUUUCCUUCCACCACAUGGCACACAAGCUCUUGGAUCUAACUCAACAAUUCAAAUCCACCAUCCAACACUACAUCUAGGUCAGUAUGUAAA